UAAAGACCUUGAUGGUUAUUAAGAGUCAUAUGUUUUAUAGAAGGGCCACCAACUUAGAUUUUUCUGAUGUUUUCUUAUGAUUACACCAAAGUUAUCAAUUUGAGGGAAGAAUGUACCCUUCAUGUUGCAUAAUUUUAGGGGAACGUGACUGAUGAAGUAAACUUUGAUCACUUGGCCAAGGUCAUCACACAAGUAUGAUAUGUUGUCCCUACAUGUAAAUGCAACUCAGAAUGUUUUCUAAUUUCCUUUAUGACUUCCACUUUGACUCAUGAGUUAUUUAGAAGCAUGUUGCUUAUUUCACAAAUAUUUGGGGAUUUUCCAGAUAUUUCUGUUAUUCUAAUUUUAUUCUGUUGUGGUCAGAUAACAUACUUUGUGUGCUUUCAGUUAUUUUAAAUUUGUUGAGGAUUGUUUUAUGACCAAGAAUAUGAUUUAGCUUGAUGAAUGUUUCAUGUGCACUUGAAAAGAAUGUGUAUUCUGCUGUUGUUUAGUUGAAUGCUCUUUAAAUGUCAACUAGGUAAAGUUGGUUGAUAGUGUUGUUCAGGUCUUCUGUAUCCUUAUUUAUUUUUUCUCUAUUUUUUCUAUCAUUUAUUGAGGACUGUUGAGGUGUAACUGUAAUUGUGGGUUUGUAUGUUUCUAUUCAGGUCUAUCAUUUUUGCUUCAUGUAUUUUGAAACUCUUGGUUAGAGACAGGGUCUUGCUGUGUUGUCCAGACUGGUGUUGAACUCCUGGUUUCAAGCGAUCCUCCCACCUGGGAUUACAGGCAUGAGCCACUAUGCCCAAUCAUCUCUCUGAGCUUCUUGGAUCUGUAGUUUGUAUCUUUCAUUAUUUUCUGAAGAUUCUUGGCUAAUUUCUCUUUAAAUAUUUCUUCUUUAAAAAAUAUCUACUUCAAAUACCUAAUAUAGAUGACGGGUUGAUGG
rnacentral:lncRNA from 1 species